rnacentral:piRNA from 1 species
AAGCCUAGAAGACACUUGAGGAAAUGUACA